AUGCAGCGUAGGCACAUGGAACCUGAUGGUAUAUGUACGAUCUGUGGGCUAGAGGAAGAGACGACGCACCAUGCACUCCUACGAUGUCCUCAUGCUAGGAACCUAUGGGAUGUAAUGAAAUCUGUAUGGGAUCUCCCACCGGAUGAAGCACUAUGGAACUCUGAACCUGAUUGGUUGCUCAUGCUAAUCCAGCAGCUCAAUGACACACAACGCAUGCUCCUUCUCAUGGUACUCUGGCAGGUGUGGCAUGUGCACAAUGAGCUAACACAUGAAAAGCCAUUGAUUCCUGUUGAAGCUUCCAAGAAAUUCUUGUGUGGGUAUGCAGACCACCUACUAAUGAUAACACACUAUCCACACGCUGAUUUCACUAAAGGCAAGGUUCCUGCUAACCUCAGUGCAAAUACCACAGCAGUAGUUCAUACCGUGACCCACUCAAAACCUGAAGUUAAAUGGGAACCCCCACCAGCAGGACAUGUGAAGCUUAAUUUUGAUGGUUCAUUUGUGUCGGAAAAUGGUGCUGCGGGUGCCGGAAUGAUUCUACGGGACCAUGAAGGGCAGGUUAUCUUUGCUGCAUGCAGAUGGCUGUUUGAUUGUGAGGGACCCCUAGCAGCAGAACUAGCAGCUUGUGAGGAAGGUCUCCGUCUAGCUCUGCAUUGGUCUCAAGCCCCGCUUCAGGUUGAGACAGACUGUGCCGAGAUCAUCACCCUUGUAAAAGCUGGGCAAGGUGAUCGAUCCAGAAAUAUGCACCAAGUUACUGAGAUAGUGCAUCUGCUCAACGAACGCCACACUCAAAUCCAUAAAAUUAGUCGUGGGCAAAAUAAAGCUGGGCAUGCAAUGGCGGCAAUUGGUCGUGGACAGCAGCGCACAGCUUGUUGGCUUGCAAAUGCUCCCCAGGAGAUUAGCAUUAUCAUUACCGAUGAUUGCAAAACUGUUAUUGCUUAA
rnacentral:rRNA from 1 species